UGUUUUCGCAGUUUUGUUGCUCACUGCUUCACCGCCACGGCCAUCGUGGCCCCAAACAUUCUUUCCCAACUGAAGUGCUUCCAACUUGUGCGUUCUUCUCUUUUUUUAGGUUGUUCUCAAACUUCUUCAGCCGGCGGAUCUUAUCAUUCAAUUGUAUGCAUGAUACAUUUGCCCGAAUCAAAUUUGACCCCUUCAUAAAAUCGUAAAAUUCAUCAACGUAUUUAUAGGGUUCCUUCCUGUUUUCGCGAUGAAGGGGUCGAAUUUGAUUCGGGCAAAUGUAUCAGAGUAAAUACCCAUAGUCAUUCCUGAGAUUCACGCAAAUAUCCAUAGUAAUUUCUAAGAUUCCGAUUUAUCCCUAAAUCCCCAAAUUCUCGGACACUUUAUUUCUUCUUCUUGUUCAUCUCUUUUUCUUCUUUCAAGCAUGUCACGUAAAACAUAAAUUGUCUGGCUUCUAUAUACCAUCAAGCAUAAAUUGUCUGGCUUGUAUAUAUCAUCAAGCAUCAAGGAGCCGACGGCGUGAUCCUCCUGUGCCUUCUUCCUACGUUUUGGUUGGUUCCUGUUGUCGAUACUGUUUUCGGCUGCGCGCUUUGACCCGGAUUUGGUUUGACUCACAGAAGCCGAAGGUUGAGACUUCAACUUUGGAGAGGGUUUAGAAGAAGAUGACGAGGGUUUGGAAACCUUUUGCGGUUGAGGCUUCCUGGAACCAGCACGUGUUUCCUCACGUUCAUCUUCGCCUUCGUCUGUGUCUUCGUCCUCCUCAGAUGAAGUUGCUGCUUCUUCUUCCUCGCUGCUAUUUUCUUGUUUGGGCUGAGGCCUGGGAACCUGCGAUUCGUCGUCAGAGUCUUCAGGAGCGACUUGCUUCUGCUUCGCCAUGGAAACUCCGAAAUUCAGGAGGGAAAAAGUGAAUUUAGGAUUAGGGUUUGUCUUAGUUCACUCUCUGGACAGUGAGAGAGGAUCCGCAGAAAUCACGUGACGAGUUCAAAUCCAGAUAAAUAUUUAGUACAUCUUUAUCAAAGACUUGCGCCGCAAAAGAAUGAGUCAGGUUUGUAGCUUCUUUUCCAAAUCUGUGAAUCCAAUUCUUUUCCGUGCUAAGUUAGCUCGUAAGAUUGAGAAUAUUCAAAAGGAGUUUAAUAAUGUCGCUGAAGAGAUGUCUAAGUUGAACCUGAAUCGGAGUUCGGUAAUUCUUAAGCAAGAUGAGUGUGGCUGGAGGGAAACAAGUUCGUCCGUUUUGCAAUCAGAGAUAAUUGGAAGGGAAGAGAAUAAAAGUGACAUUGUUAACUUGCUGAAGCAAACCCAUCCGAACCAAAAUGUUUCUUUAAUUGUUGUUGUUGGUAUGGGGGUUUAGGCAAGACAGCCCUUGCUCAGCUCGUGUACAAUGCUGCUAAAGACCAGAACCUCUUUCAGAAAUAUAUAUGGCUGUGCGUUUUAGAAAAUUUCGAGGUGAAAACUGUUUUGAAGAAGAUCCUGGAGUCUUUGAAGAAGGAUGCUGGUGGUGUGACUCAUUAGGGCCCUACAACAGAAGUUGCGAGAAGCAUUGAAUGGGCAAAAUUAUAUGCUUGUGCUCGAUGACGUGUGGAAUGAAGAUCAUUUAAAGUGGAAUGAUUUAAGAUCGAGUUGAGUUGUAUUGCUCUUGAAUUACUUGGAUAUGUAUUGCUCUUGAAUUAUUUGUGGAUUCUUACGAAUAGUUGUCCUACUUUUUGAUUAUCGGUUUUUAUUCUGGUUUGCAUUGUAGAUUAUUUCCAGAAGAUGUAUCAGAGAUGGAUUGAGAUAAAUGUUGUUGGUAUUGAACUACUUGUUCUGCUUUUGGUGUGGAACACCUCUGAUGUCAUCACCUCUCUUAAUUUAGUUGGAGCUCCCUUCCAGUCUUUGCAAUAUUUGCCGAGAAAGAAAAAGUUCUUGGGCAAAUGACAUAUAACUCGCUAUCCAAUAGAGCACCAGUUCUUAGAAGAUUAUUGUGUUUGGAUUCUCAUAUUGCCUCUUCAUUUUCCUUGUUUAUAAUUAAAUUUGCCGUUCAAGCAAGAGCAUUAUCUGGCUUCAUGUGAUAACGAUUACGUGACUAGUUGGAUCCAUAUAUGGUUUUGUGGCGUCUCCCCCUCCUGAUGGCCAUGCCGAAGGGAGCGGGUAGAGUUGCUGGCUUGGUUAUUUCAAGGCACAGUGGAGAUUUCUUUAUUUCUUGCUUCAUGUGAAAGAUUUUCCUACAUUUGAUUUCAGGUUGGUGAUUAUGUAAUAUGGUUGUGGCUAUUAGAGACGCAACAUGGUAAUAAGAGGUUGGGUAUGAAUUGGCAUGUGUGUUCAUUGAGAUAGGCUUAUUGUACGGGAAUUUAUUGUUCAAACUUCCCAUUUUUGUGUAUGUUGUUCUAUGAUCUGUGAUGUGAUAUCAUAAACUUUGAUGUAUCACCUACUGCGUUUCUCUUUUGUUUUGGAAGCACACUUUAUCUAUCGAAAACGAGGAUUAUCACAAUUCAAAGCUCUAUUAGUACUGCUCUUAUUGUAACAUACACUCAUUUUCAUUGAAUGAAUUUAAUAAUUCCUGA